rnacentral:rRNA from 1 species
CGCACAUAAGACAUGCAAGUCGAACGGAAGUCGUUAUAUUGAUUUGAAGAGAACGGAGAACUUGUUCAAAGGGACAUGAUGAAGAUUAUAACAAUGGCUUUAGUGGCGGACUGGUGAGUAAUACGUAAGCAACCUGCCUAUUAGAGGGGAACAACAGUUAGAAAUGACUGCUAAUACCGCAUAUGCCAUAAGUAUCGCAUGAUACAAGUGGGAAAGGAGUAAUCCGCUAAUAGAUGGGCUUACGGCUGAUUAGCUAGUUGGUGUGGUAACGGCAUACCAAGGCGACGAUCAGUAGCCGGACUGAGAGGUUCAACGGCCACAUUGGGACUGAGAUAUGGCCCAGACUCCUACGGGAGGCAGCAGUCGGGAAUUUUGCGCAAUGGAGGAAACUUCUGACGCAGUGACGCCGCGUGCAGGAAGAAGGUUUUCGGAUUGUAAACUGCUUUAGACAGGGAAGAAAAAGGACAGUACCUGUAGAAUAAGCUCCGGCUAACUACGUGCCAGCCGCCGC